rnacentral:rRNA from 1 species
GAUGAACGCUGGCGGCGUGCUUAACACAUGCAAGUCGAACGAAGCACUUUAUUUGAUUUCCUUCGGGACUGAUUAUUUUGUGACUGAGUGGCGGACGGGUGAGUAACGCGUGGGUAACCUGCCUUGUACAGGGGGAUAACAGUUGGAAACGGCUGCUAAUACCGCAUAAGCGCACGGCAUCGCAUGAUGCAGUGUGAAAAACUCCGGUGGUAUAAGAUGGACCCGCGUUGGAUUAGCUAGUUGGUGAGGUAACGGCCCACCAAGGCGACGAUCCAUAGCCGACCUGAGAGGGUGACCGGCCACAGUGGGACUGAGACACGGCCCAAACUCCUACGGGAGGCAGCAGUGGGGAAUAUUGCACAAGGGGCGAAAGCCUGAUGCAGCGACGCCGCGUGAGCGAAGAAGUAUUUCGGUAUGUAAAGCUCUAUCAGCAGGGAAGAUAAUGACGGUACCUGACGAAGAAGCACCGGCUAAAUACGUG